rnacentral:rRNA from 1 species
GACGAACGCUGGCGGCGUGCCUAAUACAUGCAAGUCGAGCGGGGUUGUCGGAGUGGAGUCCUUCGGGAUGAAGCACCGCCAACCUAGCGGCGGACGGGUGAGUAACGCGUGGGUAACCUGCCCUAAAGCCCGGGAUAACACCGGGAAACUGGUGCUAACACCGGAUACCUUCCGAAGAGGGCAUCCUUUUGGAAGAAAGGUUAACGCUUUAGGAUGGGCCCGCGUCCCAUUAGCUAGUUGGUGAGGUAACGGCUCACCAAGGCAGUGAUGGGUAGCCGGCCUGAGAGGGUGGACGGCCACACUGGGACUGAGACACGGCCCAGACUCCUACGGGAGGCAGCAGUAGGGAAUAUUGCGCAAUGGGCGAAAGCCUGACGCAGCGACGCCGCGUGGGUGAUGAAGGCCUUCGGGUUGUAAAACCCUGUCCUUGGGGAAGAAGGAAGUGACGGUACCCAAGGAGGAAGCCCCGGCUAACUACGUG